AUAUAGGAUACUACGGAUAAUUACCGUUCAAGUCAUUGGCAGUGCUGUGCACGUCGUUUUAUAAGCCUUUUCUACUCUACCACCGCCGUUCCACCGACACGUAUUUCGGAACGUCUUAUCCAUCCGCUCUCUUCCUCACUCACUCUCUAUAUAUCUCUCUUUAUCUGCAGGGCACACGAGCGUUUUAUCCGAAAUUAGUACUGUCCCCCCACCUUUGCAAUGGAAGCGUAUAUGCGCUGUUUAUUAUCUCAUUUAUCC